rnacentral:rRNA from 1 species
GAGUUUGAUCAUGGCUCAGAACGUACGCUGGCGGCACGCCUAACACAUGCAAGUCGAACGAAGUAGCAAUACUUAGUGGCAGACGGGUGAGUAACAUGUAGGUAUCUGCCCUUUGGCCUGGAAUAACACGAGGAAACUUGUGCUAAUACCGGAUAAGUCUUUACGGAGAAAGCUUUAUGCACCAUUGGAUGAGCCUGCACUUGAUUAGUUUGUUGGUGGGGUAAUGGCCUACCAAGACUGUGAUCAAUAGCUGAUUUGAGAGGAUGAUCAGCCACAUUGGGACUGAGACACGGCCCAAACUCCUACGGGAGGCAGCAGUGGGGAAUCUUGCACAAUGGAGGAAACUCUGAUGCAGCGAUGCCGCGUGAGUGAAGAAGGCCCUUGGGUUGUAAAGCUCUUUCGUCGGGGAAGAAAAUGACUGUACCCGAAUAAGAAGGUCCGGCUAACUUCGUGCCAGCAGCCGCGGUAAUACGAAGGGACCUAGCGUAGUUCGGAAUUACUGGGCUUAAAGAGUUCGUAGGUGGUUGAAAUAGUUGGUGGUGAAAUCCCAGAGCUUAACUCUGGAACUGCCAUCAAAACUUUUCAGCUAGAGUAUGAUAGAGGAAAGCAGAAUUUCUAGUGUAGAGGUGAAAUUCGUAGAUAUUAGAAAGAAUACCAAUUGCGAAGGCAGCUUUCUGGAUCAUUACUGACACUGAGGAACGAAAGCAUGGGUAGCGAAGAGGAUUAGAUACCCUCGUAGUCCAUGCCGUAAACGAUGUGUGUUAGACGUUGGAAAUUUAUUUUCAGUGUCGCAGGGAAACCGAUAAACACACCGCCUGGGGAGUACGACCGCAAGGUUAAAACUCAAAUGAAUUGAC